AGGCAAAGGACUGACUGAAAGGC
rnacentral:piRNA from 1 species